UACAGAGACUGCAAGCGUUAUUCGGAUUCACUGGGCGUAAAGGGUGCGCAGGCGGCCAAGUGUGUCAGGUGUGAAAUCCCGAGGCUUAACCUCGGAACUGCGCCUGAAACUACUUGGCUAGAGUACUGGAGAGGGUAACGGAAUUCACGGUGUAGCAGUGAAAUGCGUAGAUAUCGUGAGGAACACCAGAGGCGAAGGCGGUUACCUGGACAGUUACUGACGCUCAUGCACGAAAGCGUGGGGAGCAAAAGGG
rnacentral:rRNA from 1 species